GGGAUAACUAUUGGAAACGAUAGCUAAUACCGCAUAACAAUGGAUGACACAUGUCAUUUAUUUGAAAGGGGCAAUUGCUCCACUACAAGAUGGACCUGCGUUGUAUUAGCUAGUAGGUGAGGUAACGGCUCACCUAGGCGACGAUACAUAGCCGACCUGAGAGGGUGAUCGGCCACACUGGGACUGAGACACGGCCCAGACUCCUACGGGAGGCAGCAGUAGGGAAUCUUCGGCAAUGGGGGCAACCCUGACCGAGCAACGCCGCGUGAGUGAAGAAGGUUUUCGGAUCGUAAAGCUCUGUUGUAAGUCAAGAACGAGUGUGAGAGUGGAAAGUUCACACUGUGACGGUAGCUUACCAGAAAGGGACGGCUAACUACGUGCCAGCAGCCGCGGUAAUACGUAGGUCCCGAGCGUUGUCCGGAUUUAUUGGGCGUAAAGCGAGCGCAGGCGGUUUGAUAAGUCUGAAGUUAAAGGCUGUGGCUCAACCAUAGUUCGCUUUGGAAACUGUCAAACUUGAGUGCAGAAGGGGAGAGUGGAAUUCCAUGUGUAGCGGUGAAAUGCGUAGAUAUAUGGAGGAACACCGGUGGCGAAAGCGGCUCUCUGGUCUGUAACUGACGCUGAGGCUCGAAAGCGUGGGGAGCGAACAGGAUUAGAUACCCUGGUAGUCCACGCCGUAAACGAUGAGUGAUAGGUGUUGGAUCCUUUCCGGGAUUCAGUGCCGCAG
rnacentral:rRNA from 1 species